rnacentral:rRNA from 1 species
UAAUACGAGGGGGGCAAGCGUUGUUCGGAAUUAUUGGGCGUAAAGGGCGCGUAGGCGGUCUGAUAAGUCUUGUGUGAAAUCUCUGGGCUCAACCCAGAGUCUGCACAGGAAACUGUCGGGCUUGAGUAUGGGAGAGGUGCGUGGAAUUUCCGGUGUAGCGGUGAAAUGCGUAGAUAUCGGAAGGAACACCUGUGGCGAAAGCGGCGCACUGGACCAAAACUGACGCUGAGGCGCGAAAGCUAGGGGAGCAAACAGGAUUAGAUACCCUGGUAGUCCUAGCCCUAAACGAUGAUUGCUUGAUGUGGCAGGUACCCAAUCCUGUCGUGUCGAAGCUAACGCGAUAAGCAAUCCGCCUGGGGAGUACGGUCGCAAGGCUG